rnacentral:lncRNA from 1 species
UGAAUGUAAACUUGUUUUAGUUGAUGCACAUCAAGGUUGACUAAACAUGGAUACUUUGCAAUGCAUAUGAUGACAUGGCUAGUUUUAGUUGGCUUAACAACAGAGGUGUUACACCCUAGACCUCAAAAUGUGUCCACUAUGUUCAGGAGCUAGCUAGAUGGGCUUCGAAAAGAUCUAAAACCGUUGGUUCUAAUGGGAGUGAUAGCUUUGUGCUGGUCCUUGUGGCUAUAUAGAAAUGCAAUUAUAUUCGAAAACAAACAAUGUUCCUUUUUGUAGGUCAUUUACUCAAUUACGCAUUGGUUCCGUACGUGGUCCAUCCUGUAGAAGCCUACUUCCCAGGAGGUGGGUUGUAGUGGCUUCUCAUUUUUUGGCGCAGGUGACCUAGGAUUUUUUUUACCCGGGCACAACAUGUAUGACGGUCUAGUCUACGGUUUGAUAGUCUAGGUGCCCUAGCGAUGUUUUUUUUUGUUUUCCUUUUUUAGGCUGUGUGCCUUUCAGGCAGAGGCCGAUAGGAUUUCAAGAUGUUGUAUCACCUUGGUGUAACUUCUUGAAAUUAAUAAAACUUUGAAAAAAAAAUCUCUUUUUGUCAUGUCCGUUUGCCACCAGGGGUUGUUGGGAUGUAGUUUACCUUCAGAUUCACUACUACA